UACGUAGGGUGCGAGCGUUAAUCGGAAUUACUGGGCGUAAAGCGUGCGCAGGCGGUUCGUUGUGUCCGAUGUGAAAGCCCCGGGCUUAACCUGGGAAUGGCAUUGGAAACUGGCGAGCUUGAGUGCGGCAGAGGGGGGUGGAAUUCCACGUGUAGCAGUGAAAUGCGUAGAGAUCGGGAGGAACAUCAGUUGCGAAGGCGGCUCUCUGGACCAGCACUGACACUGAGGCACGAAAGCGUGGGGAGCAAACAGG
rnacentral:rRNA from 1 species